UACGAAGGGGGCUAGCGUUGUUCGGAUUUACUGGGCGUAAAGCGCACGUAGGCGGAUCGUUAAGUCUGGGGUGAAAUCCUGGAGCUCAACUCCAGAACUGCCUUCGAUACUGGCGAUCUCGAGUCCGGAAGAGGUGAGUGGAACUCCUAGUGUAGAGGUGGAAUUCGUAGAUAUUAGGAAGAACACCAGUGGCGAAGGCGGCUCACUGGUCCGGUACUGGCGCUGAGGUGCGAAAGCGUGGGGAGCAAACAGG
rnacentral:rRNA from 1 species